GACUGCUUCCUCCUGCUCACCGUGG
rnacentral:misc_RNA from 1 species